GAUGAAGAACGCAGCGAAAUGCGAUAAGUAAUGUGAAUUGCAGAAUUCAGUGAAUCAUCGAAUCUUUGAACGCACCUUGCGCUCUUUGGUAUUCCGAAGAGCAUGCCUGUUUGAGUGUCAUGAAAAUAUCAACCUUGACUUGGGUUUUGUGCUCUAGUCUCGGCUUGGAAUUGGGUGCUUGCCGCUUUUACGAGCGGCUCACCUUAAAUGUAUUAGCUGGAUCUGUCUUUGAGACUUGGUUUGACUUGGCGUAAUAAGUAUUUCGCUAAGGACAUUCUUCGGAGUGGCCUCGUUUCUAGGACGCUUGUCCGCUUUCCAAUACAAGUUCCACCUCGUGGACAUGACUUUUUAUUAUCUGACCUCAAAUCAGGUAGGACUACCCGCUGAACUUAAGCAUAUCAAUAAGCGGAGGA
rnacentral:misc_RNA from 1 species